rnacentral:rRNA from 1 species
AUUGACCGCUGGCGGCAGGCUUAACACAUGCAAGUCGAGCGAGCGGCGGACGGGUGAGUAAUGUCUGGGAAACUGCCUGAUGGAGGGGGAUAACUACUGGAAACGGUAGCUAAUACCGCAUACCAUCAGAUGUGCCCAGAUGGGAUUAGCAAGUAGGUGGGGUAAUGGCUCACCUAGGCGACGAUCCCUAGCUGGUCUGAGAGGAUGACCAGCCACACUGGAAGUGAGACAAGGUCCGGACUCCUACGGGAUGCAGCAGUGAGGAAUAUUGCACAAUGGGCGCAAGCCUGAUGCGUCCAUGCCGCGUGUGUGAAGAAGGCCUUCAAGUUGUAAAGCACUGUCAGCGAGGAGGCGUUACUCGCAGAAGAAGCACCGGCUAACUCCGUGCCAGCAGCCGCGGAAAUUC